UUCGUCACCCAACUGUUUCUCGUCUAACACAAGUUUGCAUGAAUAAAUUACGUCUUGCUGUUCGAUGUUUUUAAUAUCGCGUCUCGCGAUGAGGACGUCGUAACAUUUUUCAGACAACUUCUCCCGGAGGGAUCCAAUAAAAGUUGGUUAAGAAAUUCUAUUAAUCUCGAACGGAGAGAAAAAUCGACUCGCAUGCCAGACGUGGACAAUGAGGCGAUCGCCCGGAUUCGAGGAGUUUUCGUUGCAGGACUACAAUGCUACAGAUGUGUUUCUACAGCAUCUUUGCACCCUGUAUUAGCAAACUGUUCGAAUCCAAUCAAACAACAAUGCGGCGAUAAAGUAAACGAGUGCUACCACAUAACUCAAGGUGGCGCAGUCUUCAAGGGCUGCGUAACGUGUCCCAGCAUGAUUGAGGGUUGCUUCAGACCUGGCCAAGUGUUAGGAAAAGUAUGCAAAAUUUGCGACACCGAUUUGUGCAAUCUAAAUAAAGGCAACCCGAGCAAGCAUCAACCCACAAUUUUUCUUUUAAUUGUAACGUUUCUUUUGACAGUAA